AGUGAACGCUGGCGGUAGGCCUAACACAUGCAAGUCGAACGGCAGCACAGUAAGAGCUUGCUCUUACGGGUGGCGAGUGGCGGACGGGUGAGGAAUACAUCGGAAUCUACUUUUUCGUGGGGGAUAACGUAGGGAAACUUACGCUAAUACCGCAUACGACCUACGGGUGAAAGCAGGGGAUCUUCGGACCUUGCGCGAUUGAAUGAGCCGAUGUCGGAUUAGCUAGUUGGCGGGGUAAAGGCCCACCAAGGCGACGAUCCGUAGCUGGUCUGAGAGGAUGAUCAGCCACACUGGAACUGAGACACGGUCCAGACUCCUACGGGAGGAAGCAGUGGGGAAUAUUGGACGAUGGGCGCAAGCCUGAUCCAGCAAUACCGCGUGGGUGAAGAAGGACUUCGGGUUGUAAAGCCCUUUUGUUGGGAAAGAAAAGAAGCAGGUUAAUACCCCGCUGUUCUGACGGUACCCAAAGAAUAAGCACCGGCUAACUUCGUG
rnacentral:rRNA from 1 species